UUUCCGUAGGUGAACCUGCGGAAGGAUCAUUAAUGAGUUGUCAUGGGGUUCGAUGCUGGCAGCCAGUUUUUGGAUGCAUGUGCUUGCCCUAACAAUCAUCUUCUUCCAAACACCUGUGCACAUUUUUGAGGGAGUCUUGAGUUGGUUGCCGCUCUUGGGUGAUUUUCUCACAUUCCCCUAAAUCAUUAUACGCUAUUAACAAUGUUGAACGUGCUCUGUGCCGCAAGGCCAUUAAUAUAAUACAACUUUUAACAACGGAUCUCUUGGCUCUC
rnacentral:misc_RNA from 1 species